GGGCGCGGCGCGUCCCCGGCGCUGCGGCGGGUGGUGCGCACGGUGCUGCAGCGUGGGGCGGGCGCGCGCUUCCCCCUCACCCACCCACAGUUCCCUCCUCGUAUUUUGGUUCGAUAAAGGGUGUUUCAGGCCCCAGGCCCCGAGGCGGCUUCCACCAACGUGAGAGAUAACGGGGAAACCCGUCCGCUGGGAGCGGGGACUGCCCUCCCGUCCGCGCCGCGCUGGGGGUCGCUUCACGCUCCCAGCGGGCCCGGAUGAGGCGGUGGUCACUGGUUUCCAGGCCCUGGGCAGGAUGGCCGGGCCAGCAGCAAAGCACCCGGACCCGAUUUCCAGACUUCUAGCUCUAGAAGCUCUGCUGCAGCCCUCGGUAAUUGCUCCCGGAGAGCUUCCCAGGCAUCACGCUCAGUGUGUUCAACCUCCAGGGAACAGGCACAACGUCUCACCACCACCAUGGCUCGCUCCAGCCCUGCAUGUGAGCACCAAGGGUUCCCAGCGCCAGACUUGCGGGUUUUAUUUCUCUGCCCAGACCAAAUGUAAAUAGACUGGCGUACUCCCUCCCUGCCCCGUUUCUGACUGCAGUGGGUUGUGGACGCAUCUCUAACACUUACAGACCCAGGUCUGGCCUCUUCAGGCAGUCUCUGCAAAGCAGGAACAUCUUCACUUCUUUCUGGAACAAUUUUUUUCUCCAUAACUUCAAGUACUGAACAAUACUGAGCCAAGAUUUAGAAUUAAAUAUUUAAAUGCAGGAGCUGCAUAUGUACAAACAUGGUCUGUGCUCAGUGGUGACAAGGGGACAUAUGAAUAAACUCCAUGCAGAUCUGGUUUCCAGUUUAAAUCCUGACAUGCCGUGGCUUUGGGCAGCCACAAUACCUCCCCUGCCCUCACCUUGCAAAUGGAAGAAGCUUCAUUACGCCCGUUUGCCAUGUCAAAGAUGAGAUCACGUUUGAUGUAUAAUGUGCUCUGACACCUUCAGAGGAAGGUGUGAAGAAAAGGCAGAAUUGUUCAUGUAAAAUCUUUUUUGUUGCAUGGGAUCAAAACACAGAGAAGUGUAGGAAUAAAAGGAAAAUUAUGCCACAAUAAAAUUAUAGUAAACAUUUAUACGGGAAAAGCUUGAAAGGAAUUGGAAAUUCAAGCCUCAUGCUUAAUGCUUGAGUUUCAAAGCUUUCUGAGGUGUAAUGAACUACAGUAAGAUGAGGUUCCUCUAAUUUCUUGAAGCAUGCUGUCCUCCAGGGCUAUGCCGCUUAUUUUAUCUCACAUGUCAAUAGGAAACGUUCUGAAACAGGAGGUGUUCUCCAGGGCGCUGUGCAGGGAUCAGCAUCAAAUAUGAGCUUCAUUGUCUCACCCAUCAUAUAUUUUCAUCCUGGAUAGUUUAAAAAGUUAGCUAAAUCAGGAAUGGAAAGUCUGCUUCUUAUCACAAAAGGGGAUUGCACAAUAGUUGUUUGGAUGGGCUGCUGUGAACCUGAUGUCAGAUCAGCAAAAAUAGCCACCUCUGCAUAAAUGAGUCAAGAUCCAAGCAGCAGAAUGAAAGAUUUGCAUUCCCCCUGAGCAAGCCUCCACAACUGCAUGCCCGUUUUCUAACAGGUUGUGCUGGUAGUCAAGACACUCCAUAGAGCAUCUCGAGCCUCUUGGGACAUAGAACAGUCUCCCCAGGGAAGUGUCACAGACCCAAGAUUGACAAUAUUCAAGAAGUGUUUGAGAAACACCCUCAGACACACGAUGAGACCUGUGGGGGUGUCCUGUGCAGGAACAGGAGUUGGGACUCCGUGAUCCUUGGGGUUCCCUUCCAACUCAGGACAUUCUAUGAUUCUACGAAGGGCUGAAGCGGAGGACCUGGGAUGAGAACCAUCUCAGAUCAUCCUGCUGCAACCACACCAGAAACAAGACCUGGACACAGAGGGGGAACCUGUGCUCACCAGCUCCUUGCUUUCUCUCUUCCUUCCCCUUUCCCCCAUCCAUCACGCUGAGAAGGAGUGGAAACUGGGAAGGUGGAGCAGGAUUUUCAUAACCAUGCCUUUCAUGCUCUACGCAAGGGUUUGGCACGCAUUUCUCUUCCCUCAAGGAAAAGGAGGGCUCAUUCACAAGGCUCCGCUUAAAAACAGCCAGAAAUCUGAACCUCCCUUUUUCCCUCCAAGCAGGAAUUUGACUACGAGAUAUGUCCUCCCCAGCCUAGCUCACCACACCCUGAGAUUGGAAAUUGUCGCUCAGAAAACCACGUGGGGCAGGUUUAGGGAGCUUCCCUUUUACUGCUGGCCAGCUGGGAGGUUACAGGUCAUGGGGCUGGGUUCUCAUCCCAGUUACACCAGUUUGCAUUGCAGAAGUACCUCUCGCUUGCAGUUUUUAAGAGAAAAUCAUUCAGCCAUUAUAUAGUUGAAAGGUCAGAAGAAAAAGAUAUUUGGCACUGUAUCAUCAGAGAGUAAUUCAAGCUGGAAUGGACCUCAGAAGAUCAUCUAGUUUAACCUAGCUAGGAUUUUGCAGAUUAAAAAAAAAUUAAAAUUAAAAUUAAAAUUAAAAUUAAAAUUAAAAUUAAAUAGUGGAGGUUUCCCGUGGAGUCACUUGCAAAGGGCACAUUUCCCUGGGGAUCUUUGACUCAUCCAGAACAGGCCUUUACUCAGCACAACUGCGAGAUUAGGUGCUUAGAGGCCAGCAGGAUGAGCACAUCACACAUACCUCUCCUCAUGGGAAAGAUUCCCUUCCUCGCAUGUCAGAUGUGGGGUUCAUUUGUAGCCUGAUCUUUCAUGCCCCAUCUCCAUUUAGGCAGGAUUUGUGCACUGAUACUGGUACAGCACCCACCUUGGCUGGAAACCCUAUUUCUCCCUCGCCUUCCUUCCCCUGUCCCACUGCUCACACUGUUGGCGCUCACAGAAUGUUUCCUAAUUUGAACUAAAUGCCCCAGUUAUAGCAAGGCAGAAACAGCAGAGGUUUGUGGAGUUUGUUUUGUUUUUUUUCUGAGAUUUUAUACAAAUAAAAAAGUGAUGCCAAGGAAUGUGAGUCCACUGCAUGGCCCAGGAUUUGGGCUGGGCAGGAAUUGAGGGCCUGCCCCUGCAAGAGCUCAGAACACCAAACUCCAGGGUAAGAGAGCUGAGCUCCUGUCAUGGUGGGGAAUGGGCAGGGGCAGCUGCCCAGGGCUUGUUUUUCACCAGCCCGCGGUGGUCCUGGGCUGGGUUGAAAGGACCAAAUCCUUCCUUUUGGACCAGAACCUCCAUCUAAGACCAAGCACUCCUUUCUGGCAGAGAUUUAACUCUAACCAUCCAUUUUUUUUUACCCAAUUAAAGGACCAGCAAAGAAGAAACAGUGCUGUAAAGUUCCAGCCAGGGCAUACCCGGUGCACUCGCUGGCCCUGGCUGUGUCCGUUGGACAAGGGGCAAAGUGACAGCAGGGCUGAGGGCCGUGCUGGGGCAAUGCCAGGGUGGACAC